rnacentral:pre_miRNA from 1 species
GGCCAUGCUCUCCACAGGCUUUCUUGAACUGUCAACUCGCGCGCGCCGGCCAUCCAUGGCCUUCCUUUGCUGCCGAAUUCGCAUAUGCUCUUGCAUGUCUCGAUCUCGUGCGAUCCGAUGGAUCUCUGCCUGCCUUGUUGAUGGUUCAAGAAAGUCCUUGGAAAACAUGCCCGC